rnacentral:rRNA from 1 species
UACAGAGGGCGCGAGCGUUGUCCGGAAUCACUGGGCGUAAAGGGCGCGUAGGUGGCCACCAUAAGGCCGCGGUGAAAGUCUGGGGCUCAACCCCGGAUCGGCCGCGGCGACUGUGGGGCUUGGGCACCGUAGAGGCAGAUGGAAUUCCGGGUGUAGCGGUGGAAUGCGUAGAGAUCCGGAAGAACACCCGUGGCUAAGGCGGUUCUCUAGUACGGUACUGACGCUGAGACGCGAAAGCGUGGGGAGCGAACAGG